rnacentral:misc_RNA from 1 species
GUAGGUGAACCUGCGGAAGGAUCAUUAUACACGAUUCAAAUCGUAUAAACCUUUCGAGCACUCGUUUCGUUUUUAUAAGUAAGCCAGUAAGCUGCAGAGGUCGAGAGUUGAGACAGUGUAGCACGCUUUCGGGUGUGCUUGCUCUCUUCCCCGCCUUGCCUCUUCGGAGCGCGAGGGAGCUUCGGUUUACUACACUGUUGCGUCUCGCCGCAAGGCAGGCGCUGUUUUUACUCUAUUUACCCUUUGUAUCCAUUUGUACUAACACGAUUUUUCGUUUGUUUAAGAAACAAAAGAACAACUCUUAGCAACGGAUAUCUAGGCUCUC